GGGCGCCUCUCGGCCUGCGCCAGCCGCCCACCCGUGACCGGCAGCUGCCUGGCCCCGGCCCUAGAGCCACGCGUGCCCGUGGGCUAUGGCUGACAAGCGCUCAGGAAACACCUCGUCUUACAUCUGCACUUCUCCAAAGCAGAGGCUGGUGCCUUCCCUGGUGUGCGGCAGACCUGCAUCGAAACUGCACCAGAGCCAGCAGCGUUGCAAGCUGCUCUGCCCUUUACUUGCUGUGCAACACAGGAUGAAGAACACACUACCUGAAGAGCACUCCUCAACUGAGCCCCUGCCAGUGCAUUCCCUGGACAAAAGCCAAUGGUGAAGCCUGGGAUGACAAAAGAAACGCCCCCCCUGCCAUGUCAAGGAAAUCAUGAAGGGGAUAUUCAUACUGUUAAAUCCAAGUAUUUUACUUCAGUGAAGAACCUGAACUCCCUCACUCCAUUUUCUGUGAGAAGAGGAAGGAACUUGUGCAGAGGGGACCUAUAUUAUGUUCCCAAAUAGAUGGGUUUAAUACCUGCUGAAGGUAAAAGAUGACACAGAGAAUUAAUUGGUUAUAGGGCUGAGAAUGCAAUCAGAGGCAAGAGACCUGGAAAGUAUUUCUGGAUUAUAUUUCUGAUAACCCAAAGGCGCUGGUAAUCUCUUCAAAGCCACUUUCUAACAUUACCACAUCUCUGGCAUCUGUUCUCUGAACACUUUUUUUUGAUUGCACCACUGUAUUUUCCUUCUAGACUGAAAGCCAAGAUCUUCUGAUGACAGUUUUAGACUGACUUUAGUUCAAAACUAAACUUCGGAAGGAAAUUUCAGAAGUUAUAUAUAUACACCAAACUGACCUUAAAAAUACAGAAGAUGACACUACACUUAAAACAUAAACAUCUAGGAAAAAGUAAGAAUAUUUCAAUCUGUUGGAUAACACCAAUGAUUUUAUUGCACGUAACAACACUUAUCUAUGACACCUGAUUAGACCGAAUUUACAACACUUACCUUUAGGUACCCCUGUGUCUUGGACAGGAUAUUUUUCAGUCUGUCACAAAAAGGCAAGAGACACAGAUGUUUGUUAUUUUGAGUGUAAUUCUGCUGGAGAAAGAGUAUAUAAAACUGCAUGAUUACAGUUGCAUCUCUUAAAUUUCCACUAGUUGAUCUGUCUACAAUCAGACAUAGUAACAAUUCUCUUAUGUGAGAAUUGAGAUGCUAUUAACACUACUGAUUAGCACAUAAAAAGUAACAGACAUUGCUGCUUUCCUGCAGUAUUUUUAAAGGCAUUACUUUUUAGUGAAAAGGCAGAGGUUGGGAAAAAAAUUUUGCAUUUAAGUAGCAAGAUAACCUAGAAAAUGUAAUGCAUACCAGGAGGAAUAGAGAUGACUUCAAAAGCUCUUUUAGCAGAUACAAGCUUUUACUAAAAUAUUACUGUACUGAAAGAAAAAAAUAUUUUUCCCUUCUGCCCUAAAAUUAAGAAGCUGAUUAAAAUGCAAUAGAAAACUAUCAUUACUGAGUUUAAAGGGAUAGCUGCUGAUUUCCAGGCAUGUUAUAACCUACUAUUCUUCCUGAAAUCCACCUCCUUCCCCAUGACGCCUACCUUUAUAUAAAAGUAGGUGUGGCUUUUAUAAAGGCUCAUAACCAAGCAAACAGAUUAAAGACAUCUUAAUUUAAGGGAGUAAGGGGGAUAAACAAGCUUUCAUUCAUCUCAGACAUAGCAACAUUUCCCCUCAGCAAAAACCAGCAUCUAAUUUAGCCAGUUCACAACAUCAAUCACAAAAUCUGUAUCCUUUAUUAAAACCUGCUACACAAAUGCACGUACACAGACUGCAAUAAUGGAUCCCAGUGAAGGAUCGGCAUUUAAAGUACCAGUGAAAUUUCACGAGUUUCCUGCUGACUUCCUGUUGCAAGCUUCAAAAUGGGAAGAAAACACCACGGCAAAGCAAUAGCGUGCUCACUUGCCAUCCAUAAAGCAAACCAAUGCAUUUCAAUCUGUCCAUGUAACUAAAUUAGACGAGCCUUCUCUGGGCUACACGGCACUGUAAAUUUUCCCCAGAGUAAACAAUCCAUAGCAACAUUAAAAUGAAAAACUCUUAAAAUACUUGACAGAAUCUCAUAUUACUUUUACCUGAUAUAUGUCUCAGCGUAAGACUGACAUGUUUAAUAUCCUAAGACACAACUUGUCAUAAAGGUGUUGCUCUGCCAGCAAGCACUAGAGCGCGCUCUUUGGUCUCGCCCACGCCUGUUGUAAGGCACUGCUGUUUGGUCUUACCUUUCCAUGACUUUAACUCACCAGAAAAAAAAAGUACAGGAAGAAAUAACACCUUAGUAUAAUCGAAAUUUUAAACCCUGGUGGGUUUUCUUAUCCCUCCAACCCGUAUAGACAGAAGAAUGACAGAACCAAUCUGUUUUAGUUGUUGGGAUUUUUUUUAAAUUAUAAACAUUACGCUGUCAGUCUCUAGAGGCUAUCCCACAGACAGCUCAGCUGAUACCAUCCAAUUCUGCUUACAAACCAAUUGGUAUUUUUAUUUACACUUUAACUGCACAUUGUUACUAAAUUAAACGGUGUUUAUAUAAUCAUACAGAUAAGCAAAUCCCUAUACAUACUCAUAGUUUGAGUUAACAUCCUUAAAUGUUUUAUCUCACUUCUGCAUUACAUAAGGAUUGAAAGCUAUAAUGAUUUGAAUUGUAUUACACACAUACCAUUGUUAAGGAAAGAGUGCUUGGAUCUGUAUCCUCCACUGGCUCUUUUGCUGCAUGAUUUGCUGGAAAUAAGAAAGCUUUAUCACUGCAUAAUCCUCAAAACACUUGUCUGGCAAUUCAUAUUUUACUUCUUUGUCUGACCAAGAUAAAGCACAAGUACACAGCCAAUACAUGCAUUAUGUCAAAUUACAUUUCCACAAGAAAACACGACAAACUAGAAUAUCAAAGCUACUAGCAUAUAGAUGAGAAACUACAUGCAACAAGAAACCCAACUCUAAGCUAACAAAAGAUAGACUAAAAUGAAAAUUUUAAAUUAUUUUUAGUAAAAAAACCCACAAAACAAUUCAGCAAAGAAUAAAAUCCAGUAAAUGUCCUAAAAUCUAAGUAUUUUUGUCUGAGUGGCAGUGCUCUGUUUUUUCCUUAGAGCAAUAAUUCAAACAGUAAACACACCCACUACAACAAAAAUUAACACUAUAAUAAACAGCAGACUGUAGUACAAAACCUAAUAAAAGAUAUAUUUGAGGUAAACAUUAAUUAUU